AUUGAACGCUGGCGGCAUGCUUUACACAUGCAAGUCGAACGGUAACAGGCCUUCGGGUGCUGACGAGUGGCGAACGGGUGAGUAAUGCAUCGGAACGUGCCCAGAGGUGGGGGAUAACGCAGCGAAAGCUGUGCUAAUACCGCAUGUGAUCUGAGGAUGAAAGCGGGGGACCAGGCAGCAAUGUUUGGCCUCGCGCCUUUGGAGCGGCCGAUGUCAGAUUAGGUAGUUGGUGGGGUAAAGGCCUACCAAGCCGACGAUCUGUAGCUGGUCUGAGAGGACGACCAGCCACACUUGGACUGAGACACGGCCCAGACUCCUACGGGAGGCAGCAGUGGGGAAUUUUGGACAAUGGGCGCAAGCCUGAUCCAGCAAUGCCGCGUGCGGGAAGAAGGCCUUCGGGUUGUAAACCGCUUUUGUACGGAACGAAAAGGCUCUGGCUAAUACCUGGGGCUGAUGACGGUACCGGAAGAAUAAGCACCGGCUAACUACGUG
rnacentral:rRNA from 1 species